AGUGUAGCUCUCCUGGAGUUCAGAGCCUACUGUAGUGCCAGUGUGGAACACUGUGAGGCCCAAGAGGGAAUUCACUGCAGAACAACUUUUGAAUAUAGUAGCGGACACCAAAUUUAGACAUCUAGAGGACAAUUCUCUAGUGCCAAUUAAAGCAGUUCAGAGUAUAGCCAUCUCUUACUUCCUGUGCUCUGUGCUAGAGGAUGCUGAGAGGAAGUGAGAAAACACAGUUCUCCCGGUUCAAAAUUAAAACAGACCAGAUACUACACAUUUUAGGAAUUGUGUUUAGAAACAAAAUGAGGACUUGGAAGUAAAUCAUUCUUUUUCAGAAGU